rnacentral:rRNA from 1 species
CCUACGGGCGGCUGCAGUGGGGAAUCUUGCGCAAUGGGCGAAAGCCUGACGCAGCGACGCCGCGUGAGUGAUGAAGGCCUUCGGGUUGUAAAGCUCUGUGGGGAGAGACGAAUAAGUGCGGGCUAAUACUCCGCAUGAUGACGGUAUCUCCUUAGCAAGCACCGGCUAACUCUGUGCCAGCAGCCGCGGUAAGACAGAGGGUGCAAACGUUGUUCGGAAUUACUGGGCGUAAAGCGAGUGUAGGCGGUUUCGUAAGUCGGAUGUGAAAGCCCCGGGCUCAACCCGGGAAGUGCACUCGAUACUGCGAGGCUAGAGUACUGGAGAGGUUGGUGGAAUUCUCGGUGUAGAGGUGAAAUUCGUAGAUAUCGAGAGGAACACCGGUGGCGAAGGCGGCCAACUGGACAGAUACUGACGCUGAGACUCGAAAGCGUGGGGAGCAAACAGGAUUAGAUACCCCGGUAGUC